UAGAUUUGAUUGAAGUGUAGCAUUGUAAAGUAUGAGAAAUAAUAAUUACCAUUAGAGACGAUUAAGUAAUCUAGUAGUGAGGAGGAGGUGGUGAUUUGUAAAGGUAGGGUUGGUGUGGAGGUGAGUAGUGGUGUACUGGAGGAGGAGGAGAAUGGUAUACCGUAGGGGGAGAGUAAUGGACCGGAGGAGGAGGAGAUUUGUAUUCGUAGUGCUUCUUGGGUGGUGGUGGGGAGUGGUAUACAACUGGAGGAGGUGAGUAGUGAACCGGUGGUGGUGGAGAGUGGUAUACGACUGGAGGAGGUGAGUAGUGAACCGGUGGUGGUGGAGAGUGGUAUACGACUGGAGGAGGAGAGUAGUGAACCGGUGGUGGUGGGGAGUGAUAUACUACGGGAGGAGGAGAGUAGUGAACCGGUGGUGGUGGGGAAUGGUAUACUACGGGAGGAGGAGAGUAGUGAACCGGUGGUGGUGGAGACUUGUAAACUGGAGGAGGGGAGUAGUACUUAACUGGUGGUGGAGGAGACUUGUAAACCGGAGGAGGCGAGUAGUGCUUAACCGGUGGUGGCGGGGACUUGUAAACCGGAGGAGGGGAGUAGUAUUUAACUGGUGGUGGUGGGGACUUGUAAACCGGAGGAGGCGAGUAGUGCUUAACCGGUGGUGGUGGGGACUUGUAAACCGGAGGAGGGGAGUAGUAUUUAACUGGUGGUGGUGGGGACUUGUAAACCGGAGGAGGGGAGUAAUGCUUAACCGGUGGUGGGGGAGACUUGUAAACCGGAGGAGGGGAGUAGUGCUUAACCGGUGGUGGGGGAGACUUGUAAACCGGAGGAGGGGAGUAGUGCUUAACCGGUGGUGGGGGAGACUUGUAAACCGGAGGAGGGGAGUAGUGCUUAACCGGUGGUGGGGGAGACUUGUAAACCGGUGGUGGGGGAGACUUGUAAACCGGAGGAGGGGAGUAGUACUUAACCGGUGGUGGGGGAGACUUGUAAACCGGAGGAGGCGAGUAGUGCUUAACCGGUGGUGGUGGGGACUUGUAAACGGGAGGAGGCGAGUAGUGCUUAACCGGUGGUGGUGGGGACUUGUAAACAGGAGGAGGAGAGUAAUGCUUAACCGGUGGUGGAGGGGAAGAGUAGAAGUAAUUUGCGGUG
rnacentral:lncRNA from 1 species